UACGUAGGGCGCAAGCGUUGUCCGGAAUUAUUGGGCGUAAAGAGCUCGUAGGCGGUUUGUCGCGUCUGCUGUGAAAUCCCGAGGCUCAACCUCGGGCCUGCAGUGGGGUACGGGCAGACUGGAGUGCGGUAGGGGAGAAUGGAAUUCCUGGUGUAGCGGUGGAAUGCGCAGAUAUCAGGAGGAACACCGAUGGCGAAGGCAGGUCUCUGGGCUGUAACUGACGCUGAGGAGCGAAAGCAUGGGGAGCGAACAGG
rnacentral:rRNA from 1 species